GACGAACGCUGGCGGCGUGCUUAACACAUGCAAGUCGAACGGAAAGGCCCAGCUUGCUGGGUGCUCGAGUGGCGAACAGGUGAGUAACACGUGGGUGAUCUGCCCCUAACUUCGGGAUAAGCUUGGGAAACUGGGUCUAAUACCGGAUAGGACAAUCGUUUAGUGUCGGUUGUGGAAAGUUUUUUCGGUUAGGGAUGAGCCCGCGGCCUAUCAGCUUGUUGGUGGGGUAAUGGCCUACCAAGGCGUCGACGGGUAGCCGGCCUGAGAGGGUGGACGGCCACAUUGGGACUGAGAUACGGCCCAGACUCCUACGGGAGGCAGCAGUGGGGAAUAUUGCACAAUGGGCGCAAGCCUGAUGCAGCGACGCCGCGUGGGGGAUGACGGCCUUCGGGUUGUAAACCUCUUUCGACAGGGACGAAGCUUUGGUGACGGUACCUGUAUAAGAAGCACCGGCUAACUACGUG
rnacentral:rRNA from 1 species